UCAAACUUGGUCAUUUAGAGGAAGUAAAAGUCGUAACAAGGUUUCCGUAGGUGAACCUGCGGAAGGAUCAUUAGAGGAUUGACCCUUAUUAUCCUGAACGUCUCUAAGGAUAAUAUGACCUCUUUCAAACCAUGUUUACCAAACCAUUGUUAAUCUUUCCCGAGAAUCGUCACAUAUCGGGGUAAAAAAUCAAACCAAAUUCUGAAUAAAAUAUUUGUCUAAUGUCUUAAAUUAAAUUAAAUAAAACUUUCAACAACGGAUCUCUUGGUUCUGGCAUCGAUGAAGAACGCAGC
rnacentral:misc_RNA from 1 species